GAUUAACGCUGGCGGCGUGCCUAACACAUGCAAGUCGAGCGGCAGCGAGUUUUACACUGACUUCUGGAAGCUUCUAGUUGAAAGAGAAGAUUUAUUCAAGAAUUUUGUGUAAAAUGUCGGCGAGCGGCGGACGGCUGAGUAACGCGUGGGAACGUACCCCAAAGUGAGGGAUAACGCAUCGAAAGGUGUGCUAAUACCGCAUAUGGUCUUCGGAUUAAAGCCUUCGGGCGCUUUGGGAACGGCCUGCGUAAGAUUAGAUAGUUGGUGGGGUAAUGGCCUACCAAGUCGACGAUCUUUAACUGGUUUGAGAGGAUGAUCAGUCAGACUGGAACUGAGACACGGUCCAGACUCCUACGGGAGGCAGCAGUGAGGAAUCGUCCACAAUGGGCGAAAGCCUGAUGGAGCAACGCCGCGUGCAGGAUGAAGGCCUUCGGGUUGUAAACUGCUUUUAUAAGUGAGGAUUAUGACAGUAACUUAUGAAUAAGGAUCGGCUAACUACGUG
rnacentral:rRNA from 1 species